AGCAAUGAGCCGAACGAAAAUGAAGACUCCCGAGCCGACACCUGUGCAAGUGAAGCUGAUGACGACGCCGAAACGCUCUGAAGUACACAGUCCUCCCCAGAAGCCAGCUGUUCACAGCCACCAAGGAAGCGCACCACACACGGCAAGCACGCGGAGCUGCGUGAACUGUUCGCUGAUCAGCAAAGCAGAAGUGCCGAGCUCUUAAGACAGCACACGGAUUGAUAUUUCAACAGCUGCGGCAGCUUUUACAGGAGGAACGGAAUAACAUGAAUCAACUCAUGGCAAACAUUACAACCUCCUUCCUUCAAGGCACUCAAGCCCUUUUGUCACAAGUGUUCAGCAGACAGAUGCAAAUGACAGGCCACCAGCCAGCAAUGUUCAGCUUUCCUGCACAAGGACCUUUCGUCACAACAGAGGUGGCCUCCAAUAUCGCAAGCUUCCAACCAUGUCAACCAUCAAACUCUACGCAAGAUAUACCAGCGCAACCAAACUUUCCUGGCUCAACCACAUCAAGGUCUCCUCGCUCAUAGGUGACUCAUAUGAAGUGUGUUGCAUUGAGUGCUAGAAACAGUUGGUGCUCUCUGAUGUUCGUUAAAAAAAUUGCCCACAGGCACUGUAGUACUCUAGUCACUUUCGUUUUUUUUGGGUGGAUCGCACUUAAUACAGUGUCAAUAUU
rnacentral:lncRNA from 1 species